UACGUAGGUGGCAAGCGUUGUCCGGAUUUAUUGGGCGUAAAGCGAGCGCAGGCGGUUCCUUAAGUCUGAUGUGAAAGCCCACGGCUCAACCGUGGAAGGUCAUUGGAAACUGGGGAACUUGAGUGCAGAAGAGGAGAGUGGAAUUCCAUGUGUAGCGGUGAAAUGCGUAGAUAUAUGGAGGAACACCAGUGGCGAAGGCGGCUUCCUGGUCUGUAACUGACACUGAGGCGCGAAAGCGUGGGGAGCAAACAGGAUUAGAUA
rnacentral:rRNA from 1 species